rnacentral:lncRNA from 1 species
CCAAAUCUUAAUUGAGCUUUAUUUUUAAGAUCUUGCUAUUUUCUUCAUUCAAGGUUACUUCUGAAUAUGUCUUUUUUUUUAGGGCGGCACCAACGGCAUAUGGAGGUUCCCAGGAAGACAUUAAAAAAUAAAAUAAAAUACAGCUUUACUAGUUACCUGGGAGAUAUACUUAGGGGCUUUUUAAAAAUUAAAAUAUAAAAACAGCAUACAAUGCUUAAACAGAGUGGGUUAGAGUUCAGUUCAUCUCAGAAAUUGAACCUGACUGAUAUGAAAGCCCAAAAACUAUUCAGGUCCAAUCAUCCGAAAGAUUACUAUUCACAACAGUAUCAGUGACUGUGGUACUCAAAGAGCUUCCAGUUAAAUCUAUCAGAGAAAGUAAAAAGGAGUGUUUUGAUUUUUGCAAACACAGAAUAAUCUCAUCCCAAGGUCUUCAAAAGUAUCCUUUAAUAUACGGCAUGGAUCUACAAAAUUAGAACAAUAUUAAUCUUACCUAAUAAGGCUGCUGUAAGAUUAAAUCGAGACAUAUUAUGUGUGAAUACGUUUUGAAGAAUUAGUAAGUCUUACACAAUGUUAGAUAUUUUAUAAGCCUAUGUGGACAAAUGAAUUAAACCAAUAAUUAUAAAAAUUAACAACCUAUUUUGUUAAGAAACACUGAGCAAAAAGUACAUUAACUGUAGUUCCUCUUUUUUAAAAAAAAUGAUCUAAAAAUAAAAUCACAAAAGACUUUCCUAUCAUUAUAUUACCCUUGUGAAUUCUUCUACCUUCAUGUACACAGAGCUUUAAUUAACUAAGUAGUAUAUACCCUCAUGGAACCCACAUCUUCAUAAGGCCAUAGUAUUAAAGAAAUACUACUGUUAGUUGUGGAAUGAUCAAAUUAAUUAAAGAAUAUUUCAUCAAAGAAACUGUUACUAUUAGCUGUGAGACUAUCAAAACAAAUAAAAUUCCCGUUCAGUUAAGUAGCCUUCAAUACAAUAAAGGAAAUAAAACAUACACACAAAUAAGUGGAAUACAAGUUGAAUGAUGAAAAGUUCCGUAACAGCUAUGUAAGCAAAGUUCAACAGAAGUUCAGAGACAGGAGAAGUUAUUUCUAGCGAGGGGGAGAGUACAGAAAGAGAUGUUAGGGGAAAAAGUCCUAUUUGUGCUGGGUCCUAAAGGAUGAGGAGGAUGUUGAAACAUUCCUAAAUAAAACACACACUUCCCUGGAAGAAAAAUACCUCCCGUUCACUGGGGGGGAAAAAACGAUUAUCUCAUUAAGUAGUACCAACAUCCCUCCAAUAUGUAUUUCCCACUGAACUAGAAGUUCCCCUUUUCACAUCUCCCUAUCCUUCCCCACAAUCCCAGUGCUCGUAUCUAUCACCAUAUCUUAUCCAUUUCAACCUCCUGUAUCUCUCUCCAAGCUGCCCACCCUUCUCUUCUCCAUCAUCAUCAUCUCCCUAGUCUGAAUUACCAUCGUCUCUUGCCCAUAUUACAAUCAGCUUCUGACUGGUCUCCCUGAUCCUCACCAAUUUGUCUUCUACACUGAAAAUACUGUGGUCUUUUCUAAAGCAAAUACACCAGUCAUCACUGUCAGACCCCAAUUCUUCACACACGGUUACUGGUCUAGCCUCCUUUUAUAACACAUGCCCGCUCACAAUUUCUGAUCCAGCCACUCCCGUCUUUCCUGAGUCUUAGGCUCACUAACAGCAGGACCUCUGCACAUGCUGCCCUCUUCAUCUGGAACACGUGCCCACUCUUAACUCCCGUCUCCUUGAUAACUCCUACUCACCCCUUAGAUCUUAGUCCCUCAAGAAAGUCUUCUCUAUUCUCCCAAACUAAAUUAGACCAUUUAGUUACACACUCUUAAGAAGCUGUAUAAUUUCUGAGGUAGUAUUUGUUACAACUGUAAUUUUAUAUUUAUUUGGUAUUUAAUUAACAAUUACCUCCCUGAUUAAACUGUAAGCACCAUUAGGAUAGGGUUCACAAAUAAUUUUGCCUUAGGUUAGACCUGCCAACAAAUCUUAUCUGUUCCCACGUCGAUGUUUUCUUUUCAGUCAAAGUAUUUAUGGUGAACCAUGGAGAGGCGUCACUGUCCUGCCUACUAAAACAUGCAGUCUGUAAACCAAAUGCAGGCCCCUCACCACUUCCCCUCCCCGCACUGUUGCUUCCCAAUGUCUAUUUGGCAAAAAUUACUUCAUUUUUUAACCUAAUAAUAAGCAUGAUUUACUAGCUUAACUGCCUGUUAGUAAGAGGCUUAAGAAGUUUAGUCUAAACCUAGAAAAAGUGACUCUGCUUGCCAAAAAGUAUCUUCAGAAAAGGGGGAGAGAAGUGUUUCAGUGAUUUAUUCAGGUCAAAUAAACAUUCCCAACUUCCACUCCACCAUUUAUAGGAAGAGAUGUGCUGUGAAAUGUGUCAUCAGGGCUUAUGCCAUUAACAGUCUGUAGUGUAUUUGGAGGAAUCUGAAGUAGGAGAUGAAGUUUUUUUAUUGUAUUGAAUCAGAUGGCUACAUGGGCGAUACUAAGGAGAUACAAUGACCUCUUUGGAGCACUGACUUUAAAUAAGAAAAAGGCAUUAAAGAAACCCAACUUGCCAAAGCUUUAGUAGCUCACGAUCACACCUCCAUGAAGAGGUCAAAACAGCAGAUUGGAAACUGCACAAAGAACAGAAGAUGACGGCUGAUUUGCUCUAGGGCGAGUUGUCAUUCAGGCUCAAACCAGAUAGAGAGACACUUCAAUCAGUCAAGAUGGAUUAGCAAAGAAUAGAUUUACCCUUCUGCCUGAAACAACUAAAAUUAUUAUUUUCCCAUAUUAUUUAAAUCUUUUUAAAAGACAGUCAACUAUUUGAAGCAAAAAAUAAUCUUUUUUUGUGGGGUUUGUAAGUAAAACAUAAGAAAACAACGACACAAAAGCCAGAAAGUGAAAAAUGUUAACUUUAAUUUUAUAAGGUUCUUUUACUAUCCAUGAAGUAAUAUAUUACCACUGGAAGGCAGACUACUACAAGUUAAAAGAUGUACACUAUAUGAAAUAAAAAGCAAUCUCUAAAGUAAACAAAGUAGAAAGUGGAAUUAUAAAAAAUACACAAUGAAUGCAAAAAACAUUAAAAGUAAAAAAAGAUUUAAAAAAAUAUAUGACAAAUAAAGCCUAAAUAGUAAGAUAGUAGAUUUAAACCCAACCAUUCAAAUUAAACCCAGUCACAUUAAACAUAAUCCCAUUAAAUAUAAAUUGUCUAAAUACCUCAAUGGAAAGGUGAAUAAAAGAUCAAGACUCAACUAACUGCUGCCUACAAGAAACCCACUUUAAAUAUAAGGACACAAGUGGGUAAAAGUAAAAGGAUGGGAGUUUCCAUUGUGGCUCAGCAGAAAUGAAUCUGACUAGGAUCCAUGAGGAUGCAGGUUCUAUCCCUGGUCUCGCUCAGUGGUUUAAGGAUUCGGCACUGCCGAAUCUGGCGUUACUGGCGUUACUGUGGUGUGGGCCAGCUCCUACAGCUCCAAUUCAACCCCUAGCCUGGGAACCUCCACAUACCUCCGAUGCAGCCCUAAAAAGACCAAAAAAAAAGUAAAAGGAUGGAAAAAGAUAUUCCAUGCUAACACAAAUCACAAGAAAGCUAGAGUGGCUAUAUGAAUACCAGAUAAAGUAGAUUCCAGAAUAAAGAAUAUCACAGUGAUAAGGAAGACCAUUUCAUAAUGAUAAAGAAUACAAUAAUACUAUUUCUUCAUCAGGAGGACAUGAUACACAUAAACGUUUAUGCUCCUAAUAACAAAGCUUCAAAAUACAUGAAGAAAAACCUUAUAGAACUACAGAGAAAAAAUAGACAAAACUACAAUUAUACCAAAGACUUCAACAAAUCACUCAACAAUUGAUAGCAAAUCAGGCAGAAUACAGAAGAUCUGCACAACAUCAUUAAUCAACUAGACCGAAUAGAUAUUUAUCAAACCCUCCACUCCACAACAGCAAACACACAUUUGUUUUAAGUGCACACUAUAUUCUAGGCCAUAAAAUAAGUCUCAGUAAAUUUAAAAGGAUUCAAACCAUACAAAGCAUAUGACGUGACCACAAAUUAGAAAUCAGUAACAAAAAGAUAUCUGGAAAAUCCUCAAAUAUUUGUAAACUAUGUAACACACUUCCAUAAAGCCCAUGAGCUGGAGUUCCUGCUGUGGCACCAAGGGAUUUGCAGCAUUUCCACAGCUCCAAGACACAGGUUCAAUCCUCGGCCCAACACAAUGUGUUAAAGGAUUCCUGCAGACACAACAAAGGGUGCAGCUGAGGCUUGGAUCUGAUCCUUGGCCUGGGAACUCCACAUUCCACAGGGCGGCCAAAAAAAAAAAAAGCUUAUGAGUCAAAGAUGAUAUCAAAAAAAUUGAGAAAUUAUUUUGAAUUGAAUGAAACACCCUUCCAAAAACACAUUUGUGGGCUGCAACUAAUACAAGACUCAGAGGAACAUUUACAUGGAAACAUCUUUAUUAUAAAAGAAGAAAAGUCACCAAUCAAUGACCUCAGUGUCUACAUUAAGAAACUAGCAAAGGGAUAACAAAUGAACCCAAAGUAAACAGAAGAAAGGAAAGAAUAAAGGUCAGAAGAGAAAUCAGUAAAAUUUGAAAGGAAAAAGGAAGGAAAAAAGCCAAUGAAAUCAAAAGCUGAUUCUCCAAUCAAUAAAAUUGAUAAAACUAAACCAGACUAACGGGAGGAUAAAACAGGGAAGAUACAAGUUUACAGUAUCAGGAAUGAGAGAGGUAACAUCAUUAAAGAUUCUGAAGUUAUUAAAAGGACAAGGAAAUAGCAUAAACAGUUUUGGGCUUAUAAAUCUGACAACUCAGACAAAAUGGACACAAUCCUUCAAAGACACAAACAAGGAAAAUUCAUCAAGAAGGAGUUCCCACUGUGCCUCGGUGGGAACGAAUCCAACUAGUAUCCAUGAUGAUGUAAGUGGGUUAGAUCCCUGGUCCUGCUCAGUGGGUUAAGGAUCUAGCGUUGCCGUAAGCUGUGGUGCAGAUCUCAGAUGCAGCUCAGAUCUGGCAUUGCUAUGGCUGUGGCACAGGCCAGCCACUGUGGCUCUGACUGGACCCCUAGCUGGGGAACUUUCAUCCACGUGCCACAGAUGUGACCCUAAAAAAAGAAAAAAAAAAUUCAUCAAGAACAAAUGAGUAGGAGUUCCCAUUGUGGCCCAACAGAAAAGAAUCCGACUAGUAACCAUGAGGUUGAGGGUUCAAUCCCUGGCCUCGCUCAAUGAGUUAAGGGUCCAGCAUUGCUGUGAGCUGUGGUGUAGGUCACAGACAUGGCUCAGACCCUGCACUGCUGUGGCUGUGGUAUAGACAGCCAC